GCCAGGUGUGGUGGUGGAUACCUGUAAUCCCAGCUACUUGGAAGGCUGAGGUGGGAGGAUCACUUGAGCCCAGGAGGUUGAGGCUGCAGUGAGCCAUCAUCAUGCCACUGCUCUCAGCCUGGGCUACAGAGUGAGACCCUGUCUCCA
ensembl:misc_RNA Metazoa_SRP Metazoan signal recognition particle RNA